CUGGAAUAACUCCGGGAAACCNGGGCUAAUGCCGGAUAACAUAUCGAACCGCAUGGUUCGAUAGUGAAAGACGGUCUUGCUGUCACUUAUAGAUGGACCCGCGCCGUAUUAGCUAGUUGGUGAGGUAACGGCUCACCAAGGCAACGAUACGUAGCCGACCUGAGAGGGUGAUCGGCCACACUGGAACUGAGACACGGUCCAGACUCCUACGGGAGGCAGCAGUAGGGAAUCUUCCGCAAUGGGCGAAAGCCUGACGGAGCAACGCCGCGUGAGUGAUGAAGGUCUUCGGAUCGUAAAGCUCUGUUGUUAGGGAAGAACAAAUGUGUAAGUAACUGUGCACAUCCUUGACGGUACCUAACCAGAAAG
rnacentral:rRNA from 1 species